rnacentral:rRNA from 1 species
AUUGAACGCGGCGGCAUGCUUUACACAUGCAAGUCGGACGGCAGCACAGAGAAGCUUGCUUCUUGGGUGGCGAGUGGCGAACGGGUGAGUAAUAUAUCGGAACGUACCGAGUAAUGGGGGAUAACUAAUCGAAAGAUUAGCUAAUACCGCAUAUUCUCUGAGGAGGAAAGCAGGGGACCUUCGGGCCUUGCGUUAUUUGAGCGGCCGAUAUCUGAUUAGCUAGUUGGUGGGGUAAAGGCCUACCAAGGCGACGAUCAGUAGCGGGUCUGAGAGGAUGAUCCGCCACACUGGGACUGAGACACGGCCCAGACUCCUACGGGAGGCAGCAGUGGGGAAUUUUGGACAAUGGGCGCAAGCCUGAUCCAGCCAUGCCGCGUGUCUGAAGAAGGCCUUCGGGUUGUAAGGACUUUUGUCAGGGAAGAAAAGGACAGGG